UACGAGGGGUCCUAGCGUUGUUCGGAAUCAUUGGGCGUAAAGAGCUCGUAGGUGGCUUAGUAAGUCGGGUGUGAAAGCCCAGGGCUCAACCCUGGAAGUGCACUCGAAACUGCAUAGCUUGAGUACGGUAGAGGUAAGUGGAAUUCCUGGUGUAGUGGUGAAAUACGUAGAUAUCAGGAGGAACAUCGGUGGCGAAGGCGGCUUACUGGACCAGUACUGACACUGAGGAGCGAAAGCAUGGGGAUCAAACAGG
rnacentral:rRNA from 1 species